UAAAAUAGAGGCAUUUAUCUCAAACUUUUUUUCUGCUAUUAUUAAAUUCUAGAGCUGGAGACCUGUGACAAAUAACCCAGACCUUUCUAUAUUGCAGCAGCCAACUUUCCCCUAAGGAAAAUAGCUUUAAGCUUUGAAGACAAAAAGAAAAAGUGAUCAGGACCAUUUCACCAAAGCAGACAACAGGUUGCACGAUUCUAUGGCCUAAUUGGGUCCUAGGACAUGCUAGCUGACAAAGACCAUGGAGUGAGUGAAGGAUCAGGAGAAAACCGAUUUCUCUCUGAAGAAUUUGGAGUUACAGGCAUAACCCAGAGGACUGGGGUUGAAUUCCUUGCCUAACUUUUGGCAGAGGACAUCGUUCUUAAACAAUGUUACAAAGAUAUCCUUGAGAUAAAAUUCUGAGAUGACUCUGUCACUUCUGCCACAUCCCUUA
rnacentral:lncRNA from 1 species